AUUGAACGCUGGCGGCAGGCCUAACACAUGCAAGUCGAGCGAGCGGCGGACGGGUGAGUAAUGUAUGGGGAACUGCCUGAUGGAGGGGGAUAACUACUGGAAACGGUAGCUAAUACCGCAUACCAUCGGAUGUGCCCAGAUGGGAUUAGCUAGUAGGUGGGGUAACGGCUCACCUAGGCGACGAUCCCUAGCUGGUCUGAGAGGAUGACCAGCCACACUGGAACUGAGACACGGCCCAGACUCCUACGGGAGGCAGCAGUGGGGAAUAUUGCACAAUGGGCGCAAGCCUGAUGCAGCCAUGCCGCGUGUAUGAAGAAGGCCGUAGGGUUGUAAAGUACUUUCAGCGGGGAGGCGUUACCCACAGAAGAAGCACCGGCUAACUCCGUGCCAGCAGCCGCGGUAAUUC
rnacentral:rRNA from 1 species